GUGGGGAAUAUUGGGCAAUGGGGGAAACCCUGACCCAGCAACGCCGCGUGAAGGAAGAAGGUUUUCGGAUCGUAAACUUCUAUCCUUGGUGAAGAUAAUGACGGUAGCCAAGAAGGAAGCCCCGGCUAACUACGUGCCAGCAGCCGCGGUAAUACGUAGGGGGCAAGCGUUGUCCGGAAUGAUUGGGCGUAAAGGGCGCGUAGGCGGCCUGGUAAGUCUGGAGUGAAAGUCCUGCUUUUAAGGUGGGAAUUGCUUUGGAUACUGUCGGGCUUGAGUGCAGGAGAGGUAAGCGGAAUUCCCGGUGUAGCGGUGAAAUGCGUAGAGAUCGGGAGGAACACCAGUGGCGAAGGCGGCUUACUGGGCCGUAACUGCCGCUGAGGCGCGAAAGCGUGGGGAGCGAACAGGAUUAGAAACCCCGGUAGUCC
rnacentral:rRNA from 1 species